AUGGAGGAAUGCCAUAAUGUCAUCUUUUGGAAAGAGGGAGAGAGUGGUCUUUUGAAUCUGACCACAGAAGAGAGAGAACAGUGGAGGAGGGGAAGAGGGAGAAGGAUAGAAUCUAAAGCAGGGUCCAUGCCCACCAUGGAGCCCGACGUGGGGCUCAAUCUCACCACUGUGAAAUCAUGACCUGAGCCAAAAACAAGAGAUGGACACUUAACCAAUUGAGCCACUCAGGCAGCCGUUAGAGAUUGUUUUUAAGACCCAGUAUACAUAUUCCUUAAGUAGCAUACAUUGUAGAAUAUUAUAUUGAAUUGUGUGAUACAAACCAAAAGAAAAUUCAGCCAGUGCUGAAUUCCUAAAUCUUAUCUAUAUUAGCAAACAGAAAGGCGAUUUUGUUUUGUUUUUGUCCUGAUAUUAAAUUAUUAAAUAGGGG
rnacentral:lncRNA from 1 species